rnacentral:tRNA from 1 species
UCCCUGGUGGACUAGUGGUUAGGCCACAGCACUCUCACUGCUGUGGCCCGGGUUUGAUUCCCGGCCAGGGAA